rnacentral:rRNA from 1 species
CGAGGAAUAUUGCACAAUGGGCGCAAGCCUGAUGCAGUAACGCCGCGUGGGGGACGAAGACCUUCGGGUUGUAAACCUCUUUUCAGCGAGACGAGUGAGGACGGUAUCGUUGGAAUCAGUCUCGGCUAACUACGUGCCAGCAGCCGCGGUAAGACGUAGGAGGCGAGCGUUAUCCGGAUUCACUGGGCGUAAAGCGCAUGUAGGCGGUUGGACAAGUCCUUACUGAAAGCCCCUGGCUCAACUGGGGGAGGCGUGAGGAGACUGUACGACUGGAGGGCAGGAGAGGUCGGUGGAACUCCCGGUGUAGCGGUGGAAUGCGUAGAGAUCGGGAAGAACAUCAGUGGCGAAGGCGACCGACUGGGCUGCACCUGACGCUGAAAUGCGAAAGUGUGGGGAGCAAACGGGAUUAGAUACCCCUGUAGUCC